GGGUUGUGAGGUUAAGCGACUAAGCGUACACGGUGGAUGCCCUGGCAGUCAGAGGCGAUGAAGGACGUGCUAAUCUGCGAUAAGCGCCGGUAAGGUGAUAUGAACCGUUAUAACCGGCGAUUUCCGAAUGGGGAAACCCAGUGUGACUCGUCACACUAUCAUUAACUGAAUCCAUAGGUUAAUGAGGCGAACCGGGGGAACUGAAACAUCUAAGUACCCCGAGGAAAAGAAAUCAACCGAGAUUCCCCCAGUAGCGGCGAGCGAACGGGGAGGAGCCCAGAGCCUGAAUCAGCAUGUGUGUUAGUGGAAGCGUCUGGAAAGGCGCGCGAUACAGGGUGACAGCCCCGUACACAAAAGCGCAUGUGCUGUGAGCUCGAUGAGUAGGGCGGGACACGUGGUAUCCUGUCUGAAUAUGGGGGGACCAUCCUCCAAGGCUAAAUACUCCUGACUGACCGAUAGUGAACCAGUACCGUGAGGGAAAGGCGAAAAGAACCCCGGCGAGGGGAGUGAAAAAGAACCUGAAACCGUGUACGUACAAGCAGUGGGAGCNGUGACUGCGUACCUUUUGUAUAAUGGGUCAGCGACUUAUAUUCUGUAGCAAGGUUAACCGAAUAGGGGAGCCGGAGGGAAACCGAGUCUUAAUUGGGCGUUAAGUUGCAGGGUAUAGACCCGAAACCCGGUGAUCUAGCCAUGGGCAGGUUGAAGGUUGGGUAACACUAACUGGAGGACCGAACCGACUAAUGUUGAAAAAUUAGCGGAUGACCUGUGGCUGGGGGUGAAAGGCCAAUCAAACCGGGAGAUAGCUGGUUCUCCCCGAAAGCUAUUUAGGUAGCGCCUCGUGAAUUCAUCUCCGGGGGUAGAGCACUGUUUCGGCUAGGGGGCCAUCCCGGCUUACCAACCCGAUGCAAACUGCGAAUACCGGAGAAUGUUAUCACGGGAGACACACGGCGGGUGCUAACGUCCGUCGUGAAGAGGGAAACAACCCAGACCGCCAGCUAAGGUCCCAAAGUCAUGGUUAAGUGGGAAACGAUGUGGGAAGGCCCAGACAGCCAGGAUGUUGGCUUAGAAGCAGCCAUCAUUUAAAGAAAGCGUAAUAGCUCACUGGUCGAGUCGGCCUGCGCGGAAGAUGUAACGGGGCUAAACCAUGCACCGAAGCUGCGGCAGCGACACUCAGGUGUUGUUGGGUAGGGGAGCGUUCUGUAAGCCUGCGAAGGUGGCCUGUGAGGGUUGCUGGAGGUAUCAGAAGUGCGAAUGCUGACAUAAGUAACGAUAAAGCGGGUGAAAAGCCCGCUCGCCGGAAGACCAAGGGUUCCUGUCCAACGUUAAUCGGGGCAGGGUGAGUCGACCCCUAAGGCGAGGCCGAAAGGCGUAGUCGAUGGGAAACGGGUUAAUAUUCCCGUACUUGGUGUUACUGCGAAGGGGGGACGGAGAAGGCUAUGUUGGCCGGGCGACGGUUGUCCCGGUUUAAGCGUGUAGGUGUGUGUUCCAGGUAAAUCCGGUUCACUUUAACACUGAGGCGUGAUGACGAGGCACUACGGUGCUGAAGCAACAAAUGCCCUGCUUCCAGGAAAAGCCUCUAAGCAUCAGGUAACAUCAAAUCGUACCCCAAACCGACACAGGUGGUCAGGUAGAGAAUACCAAGGCGCUUGAGAGAACUCGGGUGAAGGAACUAGGCAAAAUGGUGCCGUAACUUCGGGAGAAGGCACGCUGACANGGAGCUGAAGUCAGUCGAAGAUACCAGCUGGCUGCAACUGUUUAUUAAAAACACAGCACUGUGCAAACACGAAAGUGGACGUAUACGGUGUGACGCCUGCCCGGUGCCGGAAGGUUAAUUGAUGGGGUCAGCGCAAGCGAAGCUCCUGAUCGAAGCCCCGGUAAACGGCGGCCGUAACUAUAACGGUCCUAAGGUAGCGAAAUUCCUUGUCGGGUAAGUUCCGACCUGCACGAAUGGCGUAAUGAUGGCCAGGCUGUCUCCACCCGAGACUCAGUGAAAUUGAACUCGCUGUGAAGAUGCAGUGUACCCGCGGCAAGACGGAAAGACCCCGUGAACCUUUACUAUAGCUUGACACUGAACAUUGAGCCUUGAUGUGUAGGAUAGGUGGGAGGCUUUGAAGCGUGGACGCCAGUCUGCGUGGAGCCGACCUUGAAAUACCACCCUUUAAUGUUUGAUGUUCUAACGUGGACCCGUNAUCCGGGUUGCGGACAGUGUCUGGUGGGUAGUUUGACUGGGGCGGUCUCCUCCUAAAGAGUAACGGAGGAGCACGAAGGUUGGCUAAUCCUGGUCGGACAUCAGGAGGUUAGUGCAAUGGCAUAAGCCAGCUUGACUGCGAGCGUGACGGCGCGAGCAGGUGCGAAAGCAGGUCAUAGUGAUCCGGUGGUUCUGAAUGGAAGGGCCAUCGCUCAACGGAUAAAAGGUACUCCGGGGAUAACAGGCUGAUACCGCCCAAGAGUUCAUAUCGACGGCGGUGUUUGGCACCUCGAUGUCGGCUCAUCACAUCCUGGGGCUGAAGUAGGUCCCAAGGGUAUGGCUGUUCGCCAUUUAAAGUGGUACGCGAGCUGGGUUUAGAACGUCGUGAGACAGUUCGGUCCCUAUCUGCCGUGGGCGCUGGAGAACUGAGGGGGGCUGCUCCUAGUACGAGAGGACCGGAGUGGACGCAUCACUGGUGUUCGGGUUGUCAUGCCAAUGGCACUGCCCGGUAGCUAAAUGCGGAAGAGAUAAGUGCUGAAAGCAUCUAAGCACGAAACUUGCCCCGAGAUGAGUUCUCCCUGAGACUUAAAGUCUCCUGAAGGAACGUUGAAGACGACGACGUUGAUAGGCCGGGUGUGUAAGCGCAGCGAUGCGUUGAGCUAACCGGUACUAAUGAACCGUGAGGCUUAACCUUACAACGCCGAAG
rnacentral:rRNA from 1 species